rnacentral:rRNA from 1 species
UACGGGGGGGGCAAGCGUUGUUCGGAAUUACUGGGCGUAAAGGGCUCGUAGGCGGCCAACUAAGUCAUACGUGAAAUCCCUCGGCUUAACCGGGGAACUGCGUCUGAUACUGGAUGGCUUGAGAUUGGGAGAGGGAUGCGGAAUUCCAGGUGUAGCGGUGAAAUGCGUAGAUAUCUGGAGGAACACCGGUGGCGAAGGCGGCAUCCUGGACCAACACUGGCGCUGAGGAGCGAAAGCCAGGGGAGCAAACGGG